AUUUUAUUGAAUUUUAUUGAAACCGUAUUAUUUUAAUAUUUGCUGUUUAACAUCCGAUUUUUAUACAACAUCGAUAUUAGAGUUAUUCAAAAUGUCCAGUUGUAUUUUGGCUAACGAAUUCAACGAAGACGCAGAACUUUAUUCUGCUAUGGAAAUUAAAAAUUGAGGGUAAUGAAAUAUACGGCAGUCAAGGAAAAAUAAUACUGAACCCAAGUAAUUGAAAAAAAAUUGCUAUAGAAUUUGAUGACAUUAUUGACUUCAUCACCUAACUUCGGUGUUUCUAUAUGUAUUCAAGUACUACACAUGGGUUAGGAUAUGUGUAUGUAACAAUGGAUUAAAGAAAGAUGGGAUUUUAAUUGAAAUUCAUUUGACUCAAUGCAGAAAAACCUAGAUAUUUCAAUGCGUCCGAUCCAAAGAUCAAUUGGAUUCGAGUUAAUGUGUGCAUUAAGACAUAGUUUUAUGACGGCCGGAGUACGACAAACAAGUGCUGUGCAACCAUCAGCAGGCAUUUCUAGCAAUUGUUGUGAUAGCCUGCGAAGAUAGCAUUUAUAGUAGAAAUGAGCAUUUUUAAAAAUCUUAACAUAUUUAUAAACUUGUUUUGAAAAGGCACUUGACAAAAGGAAGGAACAAUUCCGUCAAUUAUCCGUCAAUUCUGCAUAAAAGUUAAUAAUUUCUAUUUUCGAAAAAUUAAAUACCUUGUGAUGGUUGGCAUCUAUGUGGUCAUCCUAUCAAGUUAAUUAUAAGUAUUCCUAACAGUAAUUGUAUUAAUUAUUCUGUAAUAAUAAUAAAAUUUAACAUUAUUUCCUUA